GAUGAACGCUGGCGGCGUGCCUAAUACAUGCAAGUCGAGCGAACAGACGAGGAGCUUACCCCUCUGACGUUAGCGGCGGACGGGUGAGUAACACGUGGAUAACCUACCUAUAAGACUGGGAUAACUUCGGGAAACCGGAGCUAAUACCGGAUAAUAUAUUGAACCGCAUGGUUCAAUAGUGAAAGACGGUUUUGCUGUCACUUAUAGAUGGAUCCGCGCCGCAUUAGCUAGUUGGUAAGGUAACGGCUUACCAAGGCAACGAUGCGUAGCCGACCUGAGAGGGUGAUCGGCCACACUGGAACUGAGACACGGUCCAGACUCCUACGGGAGGCAGCAGUAGGGAAUCUUCCGCAAUGGGCGAAAGCCUGACGGAGCAACGCCGCGUGAGUGAUGAAGGUCUUCGGAUCGUAAAACUCUGUUAUUAGGGAAGAACAAAUGUGUAAGUAACUAUGCACGUCUUGACGGUACCUAAUCAGAAAGCCACGGCUAACUACGUG
rnacentral:rRNA from 1 species